GAUGAACGCUGGCGGCGUGCCUAAUACAUGCAAGUCGAGCGAACGGACGAGAAGCUUGCUUCUCUGAUGUUAGCGGCGGACGGGUGAGUAACACGUGGAUAACCUACCUAUAAGACCGGGAUAACUUCGGGAAACCGUAGCUAAUACCGGAUAAUAUUUUGAACCGCAUGGUUCAAAAGUGAAAGACGGUCUUGCUGUCACUUAUAGAUGGAUCCGCGCUGCAUUAGCUAGUUGGUAAGGUAACGGCUUACCAAGGCAACGAUGCAUAGCCGACCUGAGAGGGUGAUCGGCCACACUGGAACUGAGACACGGUCCAGACUCCUACGGGAGGCAGCAGUAGGGAAUCUUCCGCAAUGGGCGAAAGCCUGACGGAGCAACGCCGCGUGAGUGAUGAAGGUCUUCGGAUCGUAAAACUCUGUUAUUAGGGAAGAACAUAUGUGUAAGUAACUGUGCACAUCUUGACGGUACCUAAUCAGAAGGCCACGGCUAACUACGUG
rnacentral:rRNA from 1 species